rnacentral:lncRNA from 1 species
AUGAACCCCUCAGUGUCCGAAAUUCAGCCUUUCUCUAUCUCUCAACUCAGAAAAAAAAAAAAAAAAAGCUGAAAGAGGAGAGAGAGAGAAGGGAAGAAGAGGGAAAAAAAAAUUAUGGGGUGGGUUUUUUUGUUUUGCUAUUUUGGAUUGUGAUGAAGCGAGAGAGAAGAGGGAAGAGGAAGCAGGGAAAGAGACGGAGAGAUAGAAGAAGAAAGAAAAAAAAGAAGAAAAAAGCAGAUAGAGGAGAGCGAGAGAGAGAAAGGAAGAAGAGGGAAAAAAGGUAUGGAGUGGGUCUUUAUGUUUUACUGUUUUGGAUUGUGAUAGAGGAGAGAGAAGAGGGAAGAUGAAGAAGAGAAAGAGACGGAGAGAUAGAAGAAGAAAGGGAGAGAGAGAGAGAGAGAGAGAGAGAGAGAGAGAGAGAGAGAGUGGGAGUGUGAAACCGAAGAGGAAGAAGAGGAAUAAAUAAAAAAAAUAAAAAGGGAGAGAUGGGUGAAUGCCCAAAAGAGAGAGAGAAGGUAGGUUGCAUGUAUCUGCAACCUUGGGAAGUUCAAACAAAAAAAAGGAAAAAAAAAACCUUGG